GAGAUACUCCCUACGUUCAGAAUUACUUGUCUCAGAAAUGGAUGUAUCUAGAACUAAAAUACGUCCAGACACAUCCAUUUCUGCGACAAGUAAUUCCGAACGGAGGGAGUAUUAU
rfam:Triticum urartu cultivar G1812 contig702858, whole genome shotgun sequence.